rnacentral:rRNA from 1 species
GACGAACCGUGCGAACGUUGUUCGGAUUCACUGGGCUUAAAGGGCGCGUAGGCGGUCGACCAAGUCUGGGGUGAAAUCUUUCGGCUUAACCGGAAAAGUGCCCCCGAUACUGCCGGACUAGAGUUCGGAAGAGGCGAGUGGAAUUCCCGGUGUAGCGGUGAAAUGCGCAGAUAUCGGGAGGAACACCAAUGGCGAAGGCAGCUCGCUGGGACGUUACUGACGCUGAGACGCGAAAGCGUGGGGAGCAAACAGG